rnacentral:rRNA from 1 species
UACGUAGGGGGCAAGCGUUGUCCGGAAUCAUUGGGCGUAAAGCGCGUGUAGGCGGCUUCGUAAGUCCGUUGUGAAAGUCCAGGGCUCAACCCUGGAAUGCCGAUGGAUACUGCGGAGCUAGAGUCCGGAAGAGGCGAGUGGAAUUCCUGGUGUAGCGGUGAAAUGCGCAGAUAUCAGGAGGAACACCCGUGGCGAAGGCGGCCUUCUGGGUCCGCCCUGACGCUGAGGCGCGAAAGCGUGGGGAGCGAACGGG